rnacentral:rRNA from 1 species
UACAGAGGUCCCAAGCGUUUGUUCGGAUUCACUGGGCGUAAAGGGUGCGUAGGCGGUCUGUCGCGUCUGCUGUGAAACUCAGGGCUUAACCCUGAGCUUGCAGUGGGUACGGGCAGACUAGAGUGCGGUAGGGGGAGACUGGAAUUCCUGGUGUAGCGGUGAAAUGCGCAGAUAUCAGGGAGGGAACACCGGUGGGCGAAGGCGGGUCUCUGGGCCGUAACUGACGCUGGAGGAGCGAAAGCAUGGGGAGC